UCCACUGGAUUACCUCAAUGCAGUCCUGUUUGAGCUUGGAGGUGCACAAAUAUUUCAGGCCAGCAGCUGUGGUACAUUGCUUUGCAAUGUACAGAAUGCUCCUGAUGGUGGUGAUCAAGCCAUUCUGGCAAGGAGGUUUGCGCUUGGACCUUUAGUGAUUUUUUGAAGAUCUACCUGAACUGCCAUCCUGCUAUCCAACCCAUGGAGCUGGCCAGGAAGGUCUCCUUCUCCUGAUUUCCAGCACCAAGGGGCCUCCUCCACGGGUUAGAGUCCCUAACAGAUCUUGUUUAUAAAGACAUGGCAUCAGUGAGACAGGCGAAUAAAUGGUUACAAAGGUAUGAACGUGAUUUAUGGUUAUUUUGUGCUAACAGAGAUGUGUCUGGAGCUAUUUGAAGCUUUUUCACAAAAACAGAGUGGACAAGCUCAUCAGGAAGGCCAGCUGGUGGCAGGGGCCAGAACACUGAACAGUCUAGGCUCUAUACUGGCCAGCCCUGCUCACCCACUCCACCCCCUGAAGGUGGUAAACAGCAGUUAUCUUUUCACGCUCUACCUUGAAUUUAGGACGUCAAAAAGUCUGUUGACUUUGUCAAUGAAGUCCGCGGUGCCCUUGGCCUCAGGUGGGAGUCUGUUGAGUGUGACCAUUGCAGAGAUUCCUGGGAGAGAAGAUGCUACUAUGAGACUGAAUGGCUGAAUAUCUGAGUGGCCAAGCUCACUCUCAUCUUUGAAAAAGCUGGGAGAUGGAUGUGCUUGUGUGUGAGCUUGGGAGCCAUUCG